CUUCGUUGGUAUUGGGCUGGUGGAUUGUAAUCGGAAGUUCUUUCUCCACAAACGCAAAUUGGGCUAAUCUGAUGAUCCUGUCAUUCACUUGGAAUGUUGAGCAAAAGAUCAAAAGGACUGAAAAUUCUUGGAGUUUCUGUUACAACAAGUGGCAUCGGUGUUCUACAUAAUGCAAGAAUGAGCUUGCUGGGCUUGACUCUGUUUGCCACAUGGGACAGGCUGCUUCAUCAUUCUGCCUUAGUUUCCUCAUUUAUAAAUGGAAAAAACAAUAACAGAUAACUCAUAGUGAUGAUUUUAAAAAACUAACAGAUGCAAAACAAUUAGUAGUUGCUCGGUGUUGGCUAUUAAUUUUGCACAUUCCAGCAGUUGUAACCUACCGUUUUGCUUUCCAACGGCACAAUUUUUUUACAGCUGCAGCUUCCAGUCUUCAGCUCUGCUUUGGUAUCUCCUCAUUUCCAAGUUGACUUUCUGUUUUCAGUUGAUUCUGUGAACCUCCUUUGAUAUUGUAAUAAAUUAUAUGUUGUCUGACUUUUUCAGAGUCAUUUUCUGAUGCCUAUAACCGAGGAACUUUUUCUGAUAUAUGCACCUAUUGAUAUGGUGUACUUUUUGG
rnacentral:lncRNA from 1 species